rnacentral:rRNA from 1 species
AUUGAACGCUGGCGGCAGGCCUAACACAUGCAAGUCGAGCGGAUGAGAGGAGCUUGCUCCUUGAUUUAGCGGCGGACGGGUGAGUAAUGCCUAGGAAUCUGCCUGGUAGUGGGGGAUAACGUUCCGAAAGGAACGCUAAUACCGCAUACGUCCUACAGGAGAAAGCAGGGGACCUUCGGGCCUUGCGCUAUCAGAUGAGCCUAGGUCGGAUUAGCUAGUUGGUGAGGUAAUGGCUCACCAAGGCGACGAUCCGUAACUGGUCUGAGAGGAUGAUCAGUCACACUGGAACUGAGACACGGUCCAGACUCCUACGGGAGGCAGCAGUGGGGAAUAUUGGACAAUGGGCGAAAGCCUGAUCCAGCCAUGCCGCGUGUGUGAAGAAGGUCUUCGGAUUGUAAAGCACUUUAAGUUGGGAGGAAGGGCAGUAAGCUAAUACCUUGCUGUUUUGACGUUACCGACAGAAUAAGCACCGGCUAACUUCGUG